rnacentral:rRNA from 1 species
GAUGAACGCUGGCGGCGUGCCUAAUACAUGCAAGUCGAGCGAACGGACGAGAAGCUUGCUUCUCUGAUGUUAGCGGCGGACGGGUGAGUAACACGUGGAUAACCUACCUAUAAGACUGGGAUAACUUCGGGAAACCGGAGCUAAUACCGGAUAAUAUUUUGAACCGCAUGGUUCAACAGUGAAAGACGGUCUUGCUGUCACUUAUAGAUGGAUCCGCGCCGCAUUAGCUAGUUGGUAAGGUAACGGCUUACCAAGGCAACGAUGCGUAGCCGACCUGAGAGGGUGAUCGGCCACACUGGAACUGAGACACGGUCCAGACUCCUACGGGAGGCAGCAGUAGGGAAUCUUCCGCAAUGGGCGAAAGCCUGACGGAGCAACGCCGCGUGAGUGAAGAAGGUCUUCGGAUCGUAAAACUCUGUUAUUAGGGAAGAACAAAUGUGUAAGUAACUAUGCACGUCUUGACGGUACCUAAUCAGAAAGCCACGGCUAACUACGUG